AGUAGUUUGUAUCCUGGCUCAAGACGAACGCUGGCGGCAGGCUUAACACAUGCAAGUCGAACGCCCGCAAGGGAGUGGCAGACGGGUGAGUAACGCGUGGGAAUCUACCUAGUUCUACGGAACAACACAGGGAAACUUGUGCUAAUACCGUAUACGCCUACGGGGGAAAGAUUUAUCGGAAUUAGAUGAGCCCGCGUAAGAUUAGCUAGUUGGUGGGGUAAUGGCCUACCAAGGCGACGAUCUUUAGCUGGUCUGAGAGGAUGAUCAGCCACACUGGGACUGAGACACGGCCCAGACUCCUACGGGAGGCAGCAGUGGGGAAUAUUGGACAAUGGGCGCAAGCCUGAUCCAGCCAUGCCGCGUGAGUGAUGAAGGCCUUAGGGCUGUAAAGCUCUUUCAGUGGGGAAGAUAAUGACGGUACCCACAGAAGAAGCCCCGGCUAAUUUCGUG
rnacentral:rRNA from 1 species